rnacentral:lncRNA from 1 species
CUGUGCUCCUGGACCAAACUCCUUCAGGACACCCAUGAUUACGUGUGCCCACCAGAUGCUAAGGGAUUACAAAGAACGAAAGGAGGUUACAACUUAGCUAGACAGAAGAAAGGAAGAGUAUACAACACAGCGCAGUCUAGGAACUGGCAGUGCUUCUGUGAAAAAACUCAGAAAUUCUGGCCUGGGAAGACUGCUUGCCUAAGGACCCCUUCCACAAUUACAACCAAAUAUUACUCAAUAUCAACCUUUGGGAUACGUAAGAAGAGGGGAUUUUCUGAUUCAAUAUUUCUGUUUGGGAAUUUAAACAGACACAUAAUGCAAUGGCUAGAUCUGAAGUGAACAGAGCUGAAGAAGGGUGGUGUAGUAGUUCCUGUUCCUUUCCUGCCUCACUUCCUGGCCUCAAGUGAUCUACCUGCCUGGGCCUCCCAAAGUGCAGGAUUACAGGUGUGAGCCACCAUGCCCAACUGAGAUUUUUAUUUAGAUCCUUUCAGAGUUGUGUCCAUCUCCUCUAGGCCAGGCCAGCAGCCUCACUUUUUGGGACACCUAAAGGCACAGUGAUGUAACUAAGGUGUGUUUUCCCAAUGCACGAAGACUACACCUGGAUCACAUCUACAAAACAGGGCUCACCAGGCACUCUAACGCACUGAGUAUGCUGAGUAUGUAAUCAGGACCAAGUAUCCAGGCAAACUCAACAUGGUAGCAUUCAUACAGCCAUUUGCUGGAUAUCUGCCCAGCUGUGUUAUUCAUAAACCCAGAGCAGCAAAAAAUUCCGACAUAUUAGUGGAGGCAAACAAAAAAAAAUUGAUUUACAUGCAUCUACUGGACUCAGUUGUAGUACAAUAAAUAUUUGCUAAAUGAAGACAAUUUUGUUUCCUCUACAUUAAUAGGCUUAGCUAUGCAAUAUACAGUGUGUGUGGAGGCAGUCUGUGUGCAUGUAUGUUUUAAUUGUAAACUACUUCUAAAUCCUUCCUUACUGAAAACAGAUGGGGGCACAAAUAUAAAAAUGAAUAAUAAAUAAUUUUCAAAUAGCCGAAACAUAUUCAUGUCCACAGUCCCAAAACUACUCCCCCCCAAAUUCCUGAGUUCAUCUGUGGCGAGCAUGCUUUGAAAACAAAGACUUUCAGAGAAUUUACUCCCCCAAACUGCCUAACCAGUAAUCUUGUAUGGUCCCUCAAUAUAUCCUCUUAGCAGGCCUCAGAGUUUUCAUUUCAGUGCACACUGUCACUUGGCUAGUGAGCCUACCAAAGCACACCUGUAGGUUUACUAGAAUCCUCUUCCUCCAAUGCAGCUACUUCUGCUGCGCUUAAGGAACCAUCACCCAUUCACAGCUCAGUGGCAAGAGCACAAACACUCCUAAAACUUAGGGGAGUUAGGAGGGAGGAAAGGUAUCAUUUUCAAGCCCAAAGUUACUAGCUAUGGAGAGUGGGAGCUAAAACAUGGCUUGAAAAUGGAACUCAGAAAAUGUUUGUCUCAAAAAUUUUAGCGAAACUUGGCCCUUAUCCAGAAAGAAAGAGGAAAUUCUUGCAUUAGCCCUUCUUCCCCCUUGUUCUAGGACUCAGAACUCUGGUUGAGUUCUCUGGCUAAUUAUGAGACAGGCAUAGCAACAUUAUUUCUAUGAGGAAAUAAAAUUCCACUCAAUUAAAUAAUUACUUUUUUGAACACUGGCCAUGCUAGACUGGAGGAACACAGUUAGUUUUAGACUUGUUCACCUCCAGUUGUUCUAGGAAUCUGGGCAGCAAUCAGUAAUGACAACGUGUUAUGGUUCCCCACCACCAACCUCAGCCCCAC